UUUUAAUUGGAUUAUUUGUUUUUUAUCGUUGAGUUGUAAGAGUGUUUUGUAUAUUCCAGAUACUAGACCCCUAUCUGUGGAUUGUCUUUUUGCUUUCUUGAUGGUGUCUUUUGAAGCACAAAAGUUUUCAGUUGAUCUCUUUUACCUGAGUUCAAUUUAUGUGUUUUAUCUUUGAUUGUUUGUGCUUUGCCUGUGUGUGUUUUUAAAAACCAUUAUCUGCCUAUGAUCCCAGCACUUUGGGAGGCUGAGGCAGGAGGAUCACUUGAGGCCAGGAGAUUGAGACCAGGCUUGGCUUUGAAGUGAGGCUGUGACUUGACGAAAAAUUUAAAAAUCAGCUGGACAUUGUGGUGAGCACAUGUAGUCCCAGCUAUGGUAAGCUGAGGUGGAAGGAUUGCUGGAGCCUGGGAGUUCAAGGCUGCAGUGAACUAUGAUUGUGCCACUUUACUGCAGCCUGUGUGACAGAGUGAGACCUGGCCUAGACCAACCAACCAACCCAAAAACCAUGAUCUAAUUCAGGGUCAUAAAGAUUUAUACCUAUGUUUUUUUCUAAGAGUUUUAUAGCUUUGGCUCUUACAUUUAGGUCUUUGAUCCACUUUGAGUUAACAUUUGCAUUUGAUGUGAGGAAGAGGCCUAACUUCAUUCUAUGCAUGUGGACAGUCCGCACCCCUUGUUGAAAAGACUGUUCUUUCCCCAUUGAGUGGUCUGACAUCCUUGUUGAAAUCAGUUGCCCACAGGCAUGUGGGUUUAUUUCCGGACUCUGAGUGAACCCACCGGUCUCUGCGUGUCCUUCUGACAGUGCCCCGCUGUCUUCAUCACUGUAGCCCUGAAGUUUUGAAAUCAGGAAGUAUGAAUCCUCUAAUUUGUUCUUCUUUUUAAAAGACUGUUUGACCCUGGGUCAAACAAUCUGGGUCCUUUGUGUUUCCUUGUGAAUUUUAGGAUCAGGUUGUCAAUUUCUGCAAAAACACUAGCUGGAAUUUUGAUGGGGAUUGCAUUGAGUUUUUUGAUCCGUUUGGAGAGUAUUGUUGUCUUUUAUAUAUUUUGAGACAGAGUUUCACUCUUGUUGCCCAGGCUGCAGUGCAAUGGCACAAUCUUGGCUCACCACAACCUCCACCUCCCAGGUUCAAGCGAUUCUCCUGCCUCAGCCUCCUGAGUAGCUGGGAUUACAGCAUGUGCCACCACACUCAGCUAAUUUUGUAUUUUUAAUAGAGAGGGGGUUUCUCCAUGUUGGUCAGGCUGGUCUCGAACUCCUGACCUCAGGUGAUCCACCCGCCUCGGCCUCCCGAAGUGCUGGGAUUACAGGCAUGAGCCACUACACCUGGCCGAGUAUUGCUGUCUUAACCAUAUGAAGUCAUCUAGUCCAUGAACACAGGAUAGCUGUUCAUUUAUUUAGGGUGUCUUUAAUUUCUUCUGGCAAUGUUUUACAGUUUUCAGAGUAUAAGCUUUAUAUCUCUUGUUAAAUUUAUUGCUCAGUAUUUUACUUUUUUGAUGCUAUUGUAAAUGGAAUUGUUUUACUUUCCUUUUCUUUUUUUCUUUUUUUUUUUUUGAGACUGGGUCUCACUCUGUCCCCCAGACUGGAGUGCGGUGGCAUGAUCUUGGCUCACCACAAGCUCCGCCUUCCAGGCUCAAGUGAUUCUCCUGCCUUUGCCUCAGCCUCCCAAGUAGCUGGGAUUACAGGCAUGCGUCACUCUUGCCAGGCUAAUUUUUGUAUUUUUAGUAGAGACAGGGUUUCGCCAUGUUGGCUGGGCUGGUCUUGAACUCCUGACCUCAGGUGAUCCACCCACCUUGGCCUCCCA
rnacentral:lncRNA from 1 species